UCACGCGAGAGUGAAUCAUCGAAUCUUUGAACGCAUCUUGCACUUUUUAGGUCUCCUAGAAAGUAUACUUGUUUGAGUAUCAUUAACAUUAAUCUAAGCGCAAGCUUGGGAAUUGAGACUUUAAGCUGCUGUGCCGAAAGGCUACGCAACCUAUGUCUUUUAAGUGAUAUGUAGUGUGUUGCCUGGUGCCGUUAAACGCGCCUAGCAAGCCUCCACAAUCAAAUGUGAGAUAAACAUCGCACAGAGUAGUUGAAGAGGUUAAGCACUGCUACGCCCAGAGGUCACUUCUAUAGUGCCUCAACCAACAUUGAAUCAGUGAUCUCAAAUCAAGUAAGACUACCCGCUGAACUUAAGCAUAUCAAUAAGCGGAGG
rnacentral:rRNA from 1 species